rnacentral:tRNA from 1 species
GGGGCGAUCGUCCAACAGGAAGAUGCUGGUGUCGCAAACCAGAGAUCCGGGUGCGAUUCCCGGUCGCUCCA